rnacentral:rRNA from 1 species
CGCCUGUUUAUCAAAAACAUUUCUACUUUUAAAAUAAGAGGUAUAGCCUGCCCGGUGAGUACUUUAACGGCUGCAGUAUUUUGACUGUGCUAAGGUAGCAUAAUCAUUUGUUUCUUAAUUGGUAGCUGGUAUGAACGGUCGAACUAACUUAACUGGUUUGUUUAAUUAGACAGGUCAUUUAAGUCAAGGUAAAAAUUCUUUGAUAGACUAGGGGACGAUAAGACCCUAGAAGCUUUAUUUGCGGGGGAGUUAGUAGUGUUAAUUGAGGGGUAAAUUUACUGGGGCGGUAGCGUCGA